CUUUGCCUACGGGAGGCAGCAGUAGGGAAUCUUCCACAAUGGGCGAAAGCCUGAUGGAGCAACGCCGCGUGGGUGAAGAAGGUCUUCGGAUCGUAAAACCCUGUUGUUAGAGAAGAAAGUGCGUGAGAGUAACUGUUCACGUUUCGACGGUAUCUAACCAGAAAGCCACGGCUAACUACGUGCCAGCAGCCGCGGUAAUACGUAGGUGGCAAGCGAUAUCCGGAUUUAUUGGGCGUAAAGGGAACGCAGGCGGCCUUUUAAGUCUGAUGUGAAAGCCUUUGG
rnacentral:rRNA from 1 species